UACAGAGGUGGCAAGCGUUGUUCGGAAUUACUGGGCGUAAAGGGCGAGUAGGUGGCCAUCUAAGUCAGACGUGAAAUCCCCCGGCUUAACCUGGGAACUGCGUCUGAUACUGGACGGCUUGAGUAUGGGAGAGGAACGUAGAAUUCCAGGUGUAGCGGUGAAAUGCGUAGAUAUCUGGAGGAAUACCGGUGGCGAAGGCGGCGUUCUGGACCAUUACUGACACUGAAGCGCGAAAGCUAGGGGAGCAAACGGG
rnacentral:rRNA from 1 species